rnacentral:misc_RNA from 1 species
AGCAGCCGCGGUAAUUCCAGCUCCAAUAGCGUAUAUUAAAGUUGUUGCAGUUAAAAGCUCGUAGUUGAAUUUCGAGACCGGUUUACUGGUCGUGCUUUUGUACGUACUGGUAUUAUUGGUUUCUCCUUUCUGACGAAUCUUAAUGCCAUUAAUUUGGUGUUUUGGGGAAUCAGGACUGUUACUUUGAAAAAUUAGAGUGUUUAAAGCAGGCUCACGCUUGAAUACAUUAGCAUGGAAUAACGGAAUAGGACGUUUGAUUCUAUUUUGUUGGUUUCUAGGAUCGACGUAAUGAUUAAUAGGGAUAGUUGGGGCAUUAGUAUUCAAUUGUCAGAGGUGAAAUUCUUGGAUUUAUUGAAGACUAACUACUGCAAAAGCAUUUGCCAAGGAUGUUUUCAUUAAUCAAGAACGAAAGUUAGGGAUCGAAGGCGAUCAGAUACCGUCGUAGUCUUAACCAUAAACUAUGCCGACUAGGGAU